UACGUAGGGUGCAAGCGUUGUUCGGAAUUACUGGGCGUAAAGGGCGCGUAGGCGGGUUUGUAAGUCGAUUGUGAAAUCCCUGGGCUUAACCCGGGAACUGCACUCGAAACUGCGUUUCUUGAGUAUCGGAGAGGAAAGCGGAAUUCCUGGUGUAGAGGUGAAAUUCGUAGAUAUCAGGAGGAACACCAGUGGCGAAGGCGGCUUUCUGGACGGUAACUGACGCUGAGGCGCGAAAGCGUGGGGAGCAAACAGG
rnacentral:rRNA from 1 species